GAUGAACGCUGGCGGCAUGCCUAAUACAUGCAAGUCGAGCGAACAGACGGGGAGCUUGCUCGUAUGACUUUGUCGGGCGACGGGUGAGUAACACGUGGAUAACAUACCUAUAAGACUGGGAUAACAACGGGGGACCGGGUCUACUACCGGAUAAUAUAUUGAACCGCAUUGUGCAAUAGUGAAAGUCGGUAUUGCUGUCGCUUAUAGAUUGAUCCGAGCAGCAUUAGCUAGUUGGUAAGGUAGCGGCUUACCAACGCAACGAUGCGUAGACGACCUGAGAGGGUAAUCGGCCACGCUGGAACUGAGACACGGUCCAGAACCCUACGGGAGGGAGCCGUAGGGAAUCCUUAGGGAUGGGCGCAAGCGUGACGGAGCAACGCCGCGUGAGUGAUGAAGGCCUUCGGAUCGUAAAACUCUGUUAUUAGGGAAGAAUGAAAGUGUAAGUAACCCUGCAUGUUUAUACGGUACCUGAUCAGAAAGGCACGGCUAACUUCGUG
rnacentral:rRNA from 1 species